UACGAAGGGGGCUAGCGUUGUUCGGAAUUACUGGGCGUAAAGCGCGCGCAGGCGGCCUCGCGCGCCCGACGUGAAAGCCCCCGGCUUAACCGGGGAGGGUCGUUGGGGACGGCGGGGCUUGAGGGCGGGAGAGGUCGGUGGAAUUCCCGGUGUAGUGGUGAAAUGCGUAGAGAUCGGGAGGAACACCUGUGGCGAAGGCGGCCGACUGGGCCGACCCUGACGCUGAGGCGCGAAGGCGUGGGGAGCGAACGGG
rnacentral:rRNA from 1 species